CUACAACUCCCAGCGUGCCCCGCGCCCGGCAGGGAAAAGGCGGGAAAAACGUGAGGGAGGCGGUGGGCAGAAUGCCCCGAGGUGGAAAAUCAGAUAACGCCGGGAUGGGGAAACGCAGGAGCCGCCCAAUCCCAGGCGACAGGAAAUUCCACGCUCCCAAAGCCAAGCGGAUCCUUCAGGAAGCACCUGGAGCUGAUCCCCAUGGAGAUCCUGCUGGGAUGGAUCCCAAGAUCCCAGCAGAGGAAAAACUCCCCAAAGUGAGGUUUUUAAUGUGAUUUUACAGGAAGGGAGAGAUGAGGAAAUUGGAGGCGGCAGAGCACUGGGAUCACCAAAACAGGGCAUUUCCGAUGGGGUGCAAGAGAAUCGUGUGGAAUUGCCCCAGCUGGGAAUUUUGGAAGUGGAUGGGGCAAGAGAGGAUGAGCUGGAGUCACCAAAACCGGGAAUUUUGGAUGGGGCAGGAGAGAAUUGUGGAGAAUCACCAAAACGGCAGUUUUGGAGGUGGGUGUGGCAGGAGAGGAGCAGCUGGAGUCACUGAAAAUGGAAUUCUGGAUGGAAUGGGGCAGAACCAUCUGGAAUCACCUCAGCUGGGAAUCUUGGAGGGGGGAUGGAGCAGGAGAAGAGCAGUUGGAGUCACUAAAAAUGGGAAUUUGGAUGGAACAGGAGAGGAUCGGCGCGGAAUUACCAAAACCAGAGAUUUUGGAUGGAACAGGAGAGGAUCGGCCGGAAUCACCAAAACCAGAGAUUAUGGAGGGUGGAUGGGGCAGGAGAGGAGCAGCUGGAGUCACUCAAAGUGGGAAUUUUGGAUGGAACAGCAGAGGAUCAGCUGGAAACACCAACACUAGAGAUUUUAGAGGUGGAUGGAGAGAAGCAUCCAGAGCCAGUGAAACAGGAAUUCCAGAGGCAAAUGGGGCAGGAGAGGAGCAUCUGGAGCCAGUGAAAAUGGGAAUUUUAGAUGGAAUAGGAGAGGAGAAGCUGGAGUCACUGGAAAUUGGAAUUUUGGAUGGAACAGGAAACGAUCCGCUGGAAUUACCAAAACCAGGAAUUCCAGAGGCAAAUGGGGCAGGAGAGGAGCAGUUGGAGCCAGUCAAAAUGGGAAUUUUGGAUGGAACAGGAGAGGAGAAACUGGAAUCACCAAAACCAGGAAUUCCAGAGGCAGAUGGGGCAGGAGAGGAGCAGCCAGAGCCAAACUGGGAAAUUCUCAGCCUGGGAAUUUUGGGUGGAACAGGAGAGAACGAGCUGGAAUCACCAAAACCAGGAAUUUUGGAGGUGGAUGGAGAGAAGCAUCCAGAGCCAGUGAAACCAGGAAUUCCAGAGGCGGAUGGGGCAGGAGAGGAGCAGCCGGAUCCAAACUGGGAAAUUCCCAAACUGGGAAUUUUGGGUGGAACAGGAGACAAUGAGCUGGAAUCACCAAAACCAGGAAUUCCAGAGGCAGGUGGAGCAGCAGAGGAGCAGCCAGAGCCAAACUGGGAAAUUCCCAAACUGGGAAUUUUGGGUGGAAUGGGAGAGAACGAGCUGGAAUCACAAGACCAGGAAUUCCAGAGGCGGAUGGGGUAGGAGAGGAGCAGCCAGAGCCAAACUGGGAAACUCCCAAACUGGGAAUUUUGGGUGGAACGGGAGAGAACGAGCUGGAACCAGCAGAACCGGGGGGUUCUGGCGCCCAUGAGGACACGGCGAUGGACACGGCCCCCGAGGGAAGCCUGGAGGUGACGGAUGCAGCGGGAGAGGGGCCCGAAGGUGCCCUGCAGGAGGGAUGUGGCACUGGCAUCGCCCUGGGGACGGACACGGGGUCACCAGGUGGUCCCCGAGGUGCCCAGAGCGGUGGAGGGGACGCGGGGAGCAGGAAUUGCCAGGGUGGCAGUGCCAGGGUGGCCACAGCAGGGUCAGAUCCAGCAGCCACCGGCACCGAGCCCCAGGAGCAGCGGGAAGGG